rnacentral:ribozyme from 15 species
AAGAGAAAAGAAAAGGAAAGAGAUCUAUAGAAGGUACAGAGAUCAAUAUUUUCCUUAUCAUUACCUUUCUCUUUGUCACUUCGUUUCACUUCCUUUCUUUAUCCUUUUCCUA